AUUGAACGCUGGCGGCAGGCCUAACACAUGCAAGUCGAGCGGGGUUUUCGGACCUAGCGGCGGACGGGUGAGUAAUGCGUAGGAAGCUACCCGAUAGAGGGGGAUACCAGUUGGAAACGACUGUUAAUACCGCAUAAUGUCUACGGACCAAAGUGUGGGACCUUCGGGCCACAUGCUAUCGGAUGCGCCUACGUGGGAUUAGCUAGUUGGUGAGGUAAUGGCUCACCAAGGCGACGAUCCCUAGCUGGUUUGAGAGGAUGAUCAGCCACACUGUAACCGAGACACGGUCCAGAAUCCUGCGGGAGGCAGCAGUGGGGAAUAUUGGACAAUGGGCGCAAGCCUGAUCCAGCCAUGCCGCGUGUGUGAAGAAGGUCUUCGGGUUGUAAAGCACUUUCAGUAGGGAGGAAGCGUUGUGUGUUAAUAGUACACAGCGUUGACGUUACCUACAGAAGAAGCACCGGCUAACUCUGUGCCAGCCGCCGCGGUAAGAC
rnacentral:rRNA from 1 species